AGACACCCUGAUAAUGCUGCCGUCCAUGGGCAGAU
rnacentral:sRNA from 1 species